rnacentral:lncRNA from 10 species
AAAUAUCUGUAACACGCCUUGUUGCUCCCCACCCGCACCCGCUCUGUGCUUAUAACAAAUAAAUCAUUCUGCUGGUUUCUGCUGAGCCCAGUUGAACUCUUCUCAUGUUCCUCCAGCAGCCACAACUAAAGUACUGUAUCAGGACUGCCUUGGAACAUGAAACCAACUUACCGCUGUACUUUCCAUCUUGGAUGCUGAAGUUCUAGGGUAGGGUUGUCAGUAAAAUGCAGGACACCCAGUUAAAUUUAAAUUUCAAAUAAAUAAGAAAUAAUUUUUAGCCAUUAUUAUGGAGUUGUAGACCUGGUGUGGGGAGUAUGGGGAUCAACCUCAGAAGCCUCCAGAGAGAGAUUGGUGGACUCUAGGAGUGUCGAUCUCAGACUGACCAUCGCUGGGGCCACAUCCAAGCAGCAGCCCUUUGUCCAGAGCCAUUUCCUCCACUGGCCUCAGUUUCUGUAGGGCCCAGAUGGUGCUGAAGUCAGAUGCCAAGGGGAAAGUGACUUUACCCACGAGAGAGAUUUUUAAAUAUUCCCCCAACUGCUCCGAUGGGACCGUCUAGUUACAGGAAAACAAGCUCAAGGCUCCCACUGAUUCUACAUUACGAACUGCCAGGAAAUCUUCUAUAGAUGGUCUGGAAAAAAGAGUAAGCUCUUGAGAUGGGAUCACUAAGUCUUCCAUGGGUUAGAAGAGCACACCUGAGAUACAAUGGGUUUGGAAUCAUCAGAGUCCUCACCGAAGAAAGUGCUGUACUCUAGUGCCCCACACAGAAUGGGGCAACAAGCCCCCACCAAGUCUAUGCACAGAAAUCAAUGCUUCCCCUGCCUGACCUUUACUUUCACAGUAACUUGAUAUAGAUAAUAAUGAACUAAUCCCCACCCCCCUGACCAUAGUACAUAUUUUAGUAUUCAUUUAGUACUUAGUAAGCAACUCUGUGUAUAUUAAUAAAAAAAGACUUGUCCCGUCCCCUAAAACAAAACAAAACAAAAACAAAGCAAAGCAAGGAACCCUUGACAGGCUGAUAAUAUAUUACAAGUCCUUAGAAUUAAAAAAUUUAAAUUCAGAGAUCUUAGGAUCUAAAGAAUGAAUGUUUUUUGGGGUGGAAAGCAAACAAAAAUAUAUAUAUAUUCUUAAUUGAAACUACGAUGCUUUAUUGGGUAAAAGCAUAUGAUAAAAAAUGUAUUUGAAUAUUUUGCUUAGAUGAAUUUUUGUAUAUUUAGCUAAAAAUAAGAUGGUAGCAUACAUGUAGGUAUAUAAAGUUGAAUAUCAUAUGAAUUAAGCUGUUUUUAAAAAUAUGUUUUAAGUCAGAUUUUUAAGCGUAAGAAGAGAAAUUUAGUUUUGUGUUAGUAAGAGGAAAAUAAGGCC